UUUCUAAAAGGGGAGAACAGUACAUUUCAUGGUGACAUGACAUUCAUCUGGCUGGUCAGAGCUAUCUGUCUAUCAGAUCCCACAUGGGUCAAGGGUCCUUAAAAACAAAAUGUUUGUUGCCAACAUUCUUGCCACCCCCACUGCAUUGUUCGUGAGGACAACCCUAGCUUUGUAGCUCUUUAGCCAAAUAUUUGUCUCCCAGAUUGGCUUACAAAGAUCAACAGUACUACAGUCCCUGCCAGAAUCUUUUCCUGUAACUAAUUCUGCCUUAUAUUUAAGCAUUCACCUAGUAGCCAUAGGCAAGAUAUUGCAUACAGUGUAAUAGGGGAGAAUGUGUUACAUCAGGACAAGUCAGGUGGAGCCCGGAACAGGCAGCUCCUAAGCAUACAGAAGUAGAAUUAAGCAGUGGUGCUGCUAAAUCGAGGGGCGCUGGGCUCAGGCUGCCUUCUGUGGAGUUCCCACAUGACCACCUGCAGGGGGAGACCGAUCAGACAUAUCACCUGUAUCAGCAGUUGCCAUUAAACAUGUGUAGUAGAUUCAACUAGCCAAGGCUGCAAUACUACACAUACUUCGCUGGAAGCUUACUUCUGAGUAGAUAUACAUAGGAUUGCACUGUGAAUCUGACUGCUUUCUCCAACCAAAGCUGACAAUUUUCAAUCAACCCAAGUCAUGUAUACAUGCCUUUUGGAUUGUUCAAUCUAAUUGCCGACCUAUGUUUGGAAGCCCUCAUUUUUGUAAGACUUUCAAAU